rnacentral:rRNA from 1 species
GAUUCCGGAGAGGGAGCCUGAGAAACGGCUACCACAUCCAAGGAAGGCAGCAGGCGCGCAAAUUACCCAAUCCCGACACGGGGAGGUAGUGACAAUAAAUAACAAUACGGGGCUCUUUCGGGUCUCGUAAUUGGAAUGAGUACAAUUUAAAUCCCUUAACGAGGAACAAUUGGAGGGCAAGUCUGGUGCCAGCAGCCGCGGUAAUUCCAGCUCCAAUAGCGUAUAUUAAAGUUGUUGCAGUUAAAAAGCUCGUAGUUGAAUUUCGGGAUUGACACAUCGGUCGUGCCUUAAGGGGUAUGAACUGGUGUAGUCAAUUUCUCACCUUCUGGAGAACCGCGAUGCCCUUAAUUGGGUGUCACGGGGAACCAGGACCUUUACUUUGAAAAAAUUAGAGUGUUUAAAGCAGGCAUUUUGCUUGAAUACAUUAGCAUGGAAUAAUAAAAUAGGACGGCAUGAUUCUAUUUUGUUGGUUUCUAGGAUCACCGUAAUGAUUAAUAGGGAUAGUUGGGGGCAUUAGUAUUCAAUUGUCAGAGGUGAAAUUCUUGGAUUUAUUGAAGACUAACUACUGCGAAAGCAUUUGCCAAGGAUGUUUUCAUUAAUCAAGAACGAAAGUUAGGGGAUCGAAGACGAUCAGAUACCGUCGUAGUCUUAACCAUAAACUAUGCCGACUAGGAAUCAGACGAUGUUAAUUUUUUAAUGACUCGUUUGGCACCUUACG